CAAUCAGUUAAAGGAGCAGAGCUUAGAGACUUUACUUUAUGUAAAGCAAACUCACUCUAACGGCAUACCUUUUGCAUCAUGGGUCAACGAGGAAAUGGGAACAGCUGCUUAAGCCAUUAGGUGUAGGCACUUUCCAGAAGAGAAAUCUUCUAGUUCUUCCUAUUUGACCUAAAACCAAUCAAUCUAGCCAUGAGCAGGUUGAAGAGAGCUCUAACAGGCCUUGGAGGAUCGAACCCACGUAUGUGUAAAAAUAUGGGGAUAACUUGUGGCUAGGGAUGAAAGGCCAACCAAGAUUGGAUAUAGCUUGUUUUCUAUAUAAUCUAUUUUAGUAGAGCGUAUGAUGUCGAUGGCCCGAGGUAGAGCACUCAAUGGGCUAGGGUGGCCUCAUUUCACCUUACCAACCCCAAGGAAAGUCUGAAUACAGGCCUAGAUCAUUUAUACAGAUAGAGUUUUUGGGUGCUAAGAUCCAAAGUUGAGAGGGAAAUAGCCCAGAUCGUAUGAUAAGGUCCCUAAGCAAUCACUUUGUGAAAAAGAAAGUGAUCGAGUAAUGACAACCAGAAGGUGGGUUUGGAAGCAACCAUCCUCUGAAGAAAGCAUAAUAGCUCACUAGUCUAGCUUCAUGCACCAAAAAUGUAUCAAGGCUCAAGUGAUUCACCGAAGCGAUGAGACCUUAAAAGCUAUAUUUUAAGUGUCAGUAGCGGAAUGUUCUGUCAAUCGAGUAAGGUUUUUGGUGACAAGACCUAGAGAAUCAAAAGUGAGAAUGCUGACAUGAGUAACAAAAAAUCCUAUGAAAAACACGAUCUCCUGCUAGUGGAAGGUUUUCUGCAUUCAGUCAAUCUACGCAGAGUGAAUCGGUCCCUAAGGAACCCCUGAAAGGGCCUGGUCCGAUGGGUACAUGAAAGUAAUAAAGUUGCUUUGACUACCGAACUAUUCCUGUCUAUUGGAGCGAAUUGGAUGAUUGGUCCAAGAGUUUCCCCUUCUUCCCCUCACUCUCUUUUUCCUAAUAUGAACCUUAAGUUAUCAAAGUCUUUCUAACUCGGCCUGGCUCGGUCUCCCUACGCUACUAGCACUUCAAAAGGUGAAACUCUUGGUCGUAGUUUGGUGACCUAUAUUUAGUAGGGGCCUCUAGUAUUUUGAUUAGAAUAGGGGUCGCAAAAGAUCAGGGGGUCGCAAAAGAUCAGAGUGUACCACCCUACCAUAGUCACAAGUCUAUUUAUAGUCGUGACUGUUAUCAUAGUCAACAAGGUUGAAACUUCCAGGAAAAAACUUUGAAUUGGGAGGGAGAUCCUCUCGAUGAGCUAAUCGUACCCCAAACUGACACAUGUGAACAAGUAGAGUAUACUAGGGUGCUUGAGAGAACCAUGUUGAAGGAACUACGCAAAAUGACCUCAUAACUUUGGGGGAAGGGGUUCUCUCCUAUCUUUUGAUUAGGAAAAUGACACAUACCAAGAGGUAGUGACUGUUUAUUAAAAACACAAGACUCUACUAAGUGGUAACACAAUGUAUAGAGUCUGACACCUGCUCGGUACUGGAAGGUUAGAAUGAGAAGUAUUAUAAGCUUUGAAUGGAAGCACCGGUAAACACGACAGUAACUCUAACUGUCCUAAGGUAGCAAAAUUCCUUUUCACAUAAGUAGCGACCUGCACGAAUGGUGUCGCCAUCUCUCUUACUUAUCUAUUCCCAUCUAUUUUU
rnacentral:ncRNA from 1 species